UGUGAGGCCCUUAAUGGCCCCAGACCCAAGUACUCAGCACGCCAAGGUCACAUGUGGAGCCCCAGCAGCAAGCAGGAGGCACUCGGUGCCUGACGGAAUCGACACGCAAUCCUCCCCCGACAGAGACAACACCCCAGGCCUGAAAGCAGCUCCGUGUCCAGCCAUGAAACAUAAACAGGCAACAUGGAGGGAGAAGACAGCGAGGGUGACGGUCAGCAGGAGCCACAGGCAGCAGGAACUCCGGGUGCUGGAAUUCCCAGACGAUAAACCAGCUGUGCUCGCUAUGUUUUUGGAAACAAAAGGCAACCACAAAUAGAAAUGCUGAGAGACGUGGUAAUCCUAUUUCUGAAAUUACCAAAAUUCUGCCAGGAAAAGAUCUGGAGAGCCUGCGAGGCCAAGGCUAAGAUCUCCAGUGAGGGUGAGACUAAGCUGAGGACCCGCGAUGACCGCUGCAAUGGCCGUCCGCGUCAGCCAGGACAGGCUGCGUUAGGCUGCAUAACAAAUGGCCCCACAUAAUGACAUCCCGUGCACGCUCCACCCCACCAAGGACUCUGCUCCCCACCCUCAUGCAGAGGCCCAGGCGAAGUCGCACCUCGACA